rnacentral:rRNA from 1 species
GACGAACGCUGGCGGCGUGCUUAACACAUGCAAGUCGAACGCUGAAGCUCAGCUUUUGUUGGGUGGAUGAGUGGCGAACGGGUGAGUAACACGUGAGUAACCUGCCUCCUUCUUUGGGAUAACGCCCGGAAACGGGUGCUAAUACUGGAUAUUCACUGGUCUUCGCAUGGGGGUUGGUGGAAAGGGUUUUUCUGGUGUGGGAUGAGCUCGCGGCCUAUCCGCUUGUUGGUGGGGUGAUGGCCUACCAAGGCUUUGACGGGUAGCCGGCCUGAGAGGGUGACCGGUCACAUUGGGACUGAGAUACGGCCCAGACUCGUACGGGAGGCAGAAGUGGGGAAUAUUGGACAAUGGGCGCAAGAGUGAUGCAGCGACGCCGCGUGAGGGAUGGAGGCCGUCGGGUUGUGAAACUCUGUCGCUCAUGGUCAAGCCGCAACAAUGGUUGUGGUGAGGGUAGUGGGUAAAGAAGCGCCGGCUAACUACGUG